UCCCUGGUAGUAUAUCGGUUAGUACACGCGCCUGUCAUGUACGUCGGGUAGCACGUGCGCGCGAAAGCUGGGUUCGACUCCCAGCCAGGGAG